rnacentral:rRNA from 1 species
GACGAACGCUGGCGGCGUGCUUAACACAUGCAAGUCGAACGCUGAAGCUCAGCUUUUGUUGGGUGGAUGAGUGGCGAACGGGUGAGUAACACGUGAGUAACCUGCCCCCUUCUUUGGGAUAACGCCCGGAAACGGGUGCUAAUACUGGAUAUUCACUGGUCUUCGCAUGGGGGUUGGUGGAAAGGGUUUUUCUGGUGGGGGAUGGGCUCGCGGCCUAUCAGCUUGUUGGUGGGGUGAUGGCCUACCAAGGCUUUGACGGGUAGCCGGCCUGAGAGGGUGACCGGUCGCAUGGGGACUGAGAUACGGCCCAGACUCCGACGGGAGGCAGCAGUGGGGAAUAUGGCACAAUGGGCGCAAGCCUGAUGCAGCGACGCCGCGUGAGGGAUGGAGGCCUUCGGGUUGUGAACCUCUUUCGCUCAUGGUCAAGCCGCAACAAUGGUUGUGGUGAGGGUAGUGGGUAAAGAAGCGCCGGCUAACUACGUG